GGCAGGUGGAUCUCUGGGUUAAAGGUCAGCCCAGUCUAUGUCCUAAGUUCUAGUCCAGCCAAAGUCUGCAUAGUGAGAUGCUGGAGUCAGAGAAGCAAAGCAAAACAAAACAAACCCAUUUCCCAUUGUGAGCAUCUAUUACAUUAUGAAAUUUUUCUUUUUCUCCAGAAAUUCCUCUGCCAAACUGUACCUUUCCCUUCAUCUAUAAUGAGGUAAUCUACCACAGCUGCAUCUCUGUCCACAGUGUCUUUGAUUGGUGCUCCCUUGAUUUUUAUUUCCAAGGAAGGUGGAGAUACUGCAAAGCAUUUGGUGAGAGUCCUAUAAAAGUGUAUAAUAGAUAUCCAUGGCCCAAGAGGCAGUGCGUAGAAUCUGGAGAAAAUGUUUUAGAUUUCAGAAAGCAGUCUUUCCUACAUUAAAAACAAAAUCAAAGGAAAAAAACCUGAAUUUUUUUCUCAUCAGGGAUUAAUUUGUGGACAGUGGUUCAUAGUUCACCCCUUAGCCAUCUUUCUCUGCAGAUCCACCAAUGUGUGUCUUCCCUUUCCAAUUUGGAAAAAAGUCCAUUACUGAAUGCACCAAGGAAGGCCACAUUUUGAAUCGGAGUUGGUGUUCAUUGACCAACAACUACAAGAAAGAUAGAAAGUGGAAGCAAUGUUCUCCUUACAAGUAAGAUGAUGGGAGAGGCGGGUCAGCAUCCCAUAAGCUAUGAAAGGAGCAAAGCACUAGGUUGACGGAUGAGGAGCCGAGAUCUAGAUCUCCUGGCUGUGACCUAGUCAGGUGGCAGCAGACAUUGCCUGUGAGGUGCCUCCUGUUGAGUACAUCAGGCUUCUCAGGCUAUGUGAUACUGGCCAAAGAUAUUCAGCUUGGCUUUGUAGCACAAACACAGCCACGCACAGAGCAAGACUUUAUUGGAUCACUGGCAAAUCUGACAUGCUGGUGUCAUGUCAUUAUGUCUAAUGAUUAUAAUCCCGAGUGUAUAAGUUCCUUUUGUCAUUGCUGCGGCAGAACACACAAGGAAAACAACUCAACGAAGGAGGGAAAGGUUCCUUUGGACUGCUGGUUUGAGGGAACACAGUCCAUUGUGGUAUGGAUGGAAGGCUUUGUGGUGAGGCAUGAAUCUGCUGAUCACAUUGUGUCUACAUUCAGGAGAGAUAGACAGAAAGACAGUCAGCCAGCCAGCCAGACAGAUAGAGGCUUGUACUUAGUUGGAUUACUCUCCCCUCCCCCCGUUACAGUGACUGAGGCCUAAAUCCAAGAGCUGUUGCUGCCCACAUUCAGAUUUCAGAUAAUCUGUGUGUUUUUGAAGAGACAGAAGUUGCAGAUUCAUUAGCUGCAUCUCCAAAGACAAUUCUCUGUCAUUAAGGAGUAUUAUGAUAAUAAAUGUCUAUGCUCUUA
rnacentral:lncRNA from 1 species